UCAGGGACGGCACCAAAGUUGCUGUGAAACGGAGCGAGCCAGGGUCGGGACAAGGGUUCUCUGAGUUCCAAACAGAGAUCACCGUUUUGUCCAAAAUCCGCCAUCGCCACCUCGUAUCCUUAAUUGGGUAUUGUGCUGAACGGUCCGAGAUGAUACUUGUUUACGAGUUUAUGGAGAAGGGGAGCUUAAAAGAUCACCUGUACAAUUCGGAUUUCCCAUGCUUACCUUGGAAGCAAAGGCUCCAGAUCUGCAUUGGAGCGGCCCGGGGCUUGAAUUACCUCCACAAAGGCGCAGCUGGAGGAAUUAUUCACCGGGACAUCAAGUCCACCAACAUUUUGCUUGAUGAGAAUUAUGUUGCGAAGGUUGCUGACUUUGGUCUGUCCAAGUCGGGCCCACUGGAUCAAAGCCAAACCCAUGUGAGUACAGGGGUCAAGGGCACUUUUGGGUACCUCGAUCCAGAGUACUUCAAGACCCAGCAGCUGACAGAAAAAUCAGAUGUGUACUCGUUUGGAGUGGUUCUUCUCGAGGUGCUAUGCGCAAGGCCUGCUAUAGACCCUUCGCUUCCCAGAGAGCAGGCGAACUUGGCUGAAUGGGGCAUCGCAUGCAUCCAGAACGGAAUCAUUGAGCAAAUAGUCGACCCUCUUAUUGGUGGUCAGAUUAAUUCGAACUCGCUGAGAAAAUAUGGGGAGGUUGCUGAGAAAUGCUUGCAAGAAGAGGAUGAAGAGAGACCUAGCAUGGGCGAUGUACUCUGGGACUUGGAAUACGCCUUGCAGCUUCAGCAAACAGCGGCGGAAAGAGAGAUGUGCGAUGGCAGCAUGACCGACGGUUCGUCAAUAUUGACUCUUUCAAACGUGAGGAAGCUCCCAUCAUUUAGCACAGACUUGGUCGAAGAAGAGGCCGUGGGCAAAGAAUGGGCGGAUAGUUCACAGAUGUCCAUGAGUGGAGUUUUCUCCCAGAUGAAGAUUGAGGAAGCCAGAUGAGUUUCAUUGUGCAGUACGUUUAUUUAACGUGUUUCUGAGUAGUUUUCAGAUAUGAAUUCUAUUUAUCUGAUAAAGAAGAGUGCAUGUACCAAUCGUUUUAAAUUCUAUCUUGUUGAAGCAUCUGAUAUAAUGACAAUUGUUGCUGUCGUAACGUGUAAGCAUAUAAUUAUUUAUUGUACAAGAGAGGGCAACAUUUGACCGUGAUAUAUCCAAAUGUGAUAGAUAUUGCACACCCCUUAGUUGCAGACCUUGAGUAAACACUUGUUCCACAGAUUGCGCCAUCGAUGUCCUGCUCCGUAAUUGUUUUUGCUUUUUGGUAAUGAUGCUAGAUGGGUUCUACAGCUAUGUGCUAUUAUUAGGAUACCAAAUAGUACCUAAUUCUAAUUUUUUGUUCCCAGAAUCAGUUUGGGUAUAGAAUCGCGUUUGGUAAAACUUUUGUUUCCGGGAACAAAUUUGUUCCUGGAAACAGUUUUGGACAAGAAUCGAAAAUUUAAAAAAAAAAAAAAAUGUGAUUCUUAGUCUGGAAAUUAAAAAAAUAAUCAAAACAGUGAAAGUCUUCUUCUUCCUUUCCGCCAUCCCGCGACUACCGUCCACCACCGCCCGCUGCCGUCCACCAAUCCGACGAGCUCACCGGAGGCAAGCCCAACCACCGGCGAGGCUCGCCUAACCCCACCGAUGGCCAGGCGGGCCUCGCCCAACCCCGACGAGGCCCGCCUAUCCUCUGGCCAGGCUUGGCCUCGCCUGGGUUGGGCAAGCCUCGCAACGCUCAGCCCCGCUAGUGGCCAGGCAUGCCUCUCCCAGCCCCGGCAAGGCGCGCCUGGCCACCGGCGAGGCUCACCCAGCCCCGCCAGUGGCUAGGCAAGCCUCACCCAGCCUCAGCGAGACCGGCCUGCCCACUAGCAAGGCUGGGCGAACCUCGCCCAGUUGCCAACGAGGCUCAGCCGACGAGGGCUGGCGAUACUCUGGUGAGGUCGCCGGCCACAAGAAGAAGAUGAAUAGGACAAAAAGGACAAAAAUGAAAAGGAAAAAUGAAAAAAAAAAGUAAAAAAGUAAAAAAUUUAUUUAAAAAUUAAAAGAAAUUAAUUUGGAACAAAAUCAAUUAACACGGUACCAAACGCAAUUGUAUUCCAGAAUCAGAAAUUUUGGAUAGUUACCAAACGCGUUUUUUUAUUCAAAAUCAAUUCCCGAUAACAGAAUAAAAAAUAAUCAUUUCUGGUCAGAAUCUGUUCCCGGGAACAAAAUCGUUACCAAAUGCGUCCUUAGAGAUUGCACAAGCCCUAUUGUUAUUUCCUUUGAAGGAUUUCAAUAGAUUUGAUUAGACUCGAGGUUUCAGAUUCAUUGAUAUUUCAGAGCAUGAGCUUCCUAUAUAAUUCUUGAAAACUACUUCUCCGCUGUUCUCCAUCGUUCACCAAAAAUGCUUUCCUGCUGAAUGGCUUUCGAUUCAAAUUUCAACCCGUUUGCAAUAUGAUUUUGUGCUGUCUCUGCUUUCAAGGUGGAAAAAGUGCCACUUCAUUCUUCUUUAUCACCCGGGCUGAGGUUGGUGGCAUUAGCAUUGUGAUUUUUUAUGGCCGGGUCGACAAUUUUUAUUUUAUUUUUAUCUGAUGGUGCUUCGGCUUUUCCGUUUUCUUUCGGAAAUAAUGAGCUUUGAUGUCUUGGCUGCGUUAACUCCCAUUCAGGUUAGGGGAAAAUAUUCCUCCUCCCAUCACUUGAUUUAUGCAUUUUGUAGAUGCGUAAAUUAAUCACGUCAUCUUUAUGCAAAAUAAGUAAAUUAUAUCUUAUUAUACUUUAUGAAAUUUGCUAGCAAAUGUCUUUUCUAAAAGGACUUAUAGCAAGCUUGCUUCAUUGAAUAUUGCUUUAUGGAGGAAUAACUUAGGAUUGGUGCUAGGAUACUAAGUUAUUUUUGCCCCACUAAGAUAUUUUAAAGAGAAUUUUCUUUUUGGAUGAAUAUUCUAAAGAGAAUUGAUUUAAAGGGAUCAAAACGGAGCUUGUUAGGGAUGAGUUGGCCCAUUCUUUAAACAUUUUAGUACAUCUGGGGUCAGUUCUAUCCUCCUCACAUAUGGCAAUUUGUCAUUGGUUUGUGCCCUCAUGACGGGUGGCAAUUUAUCCACCUCUGUUUAUAACACAUGGAUUGCCACAUGGCAUCAUCCUACUCAACCCUCUUAUUACAAAUAGUCCAUUCAUCUAUUUAUUUGGAAACUUUUGGCAGUUGGAUCUGGAAACUUUUGGAACUAGGAUUGCAGUUCAGACUUUGGAACUUCGCCAAAUCAUUGAAUAGCACUCCCACAAUAAGCGCACAGUAGAAAUUCUACAAUUUCCCCUUGGCNNNNNNNNNNNNNNNNNNNNNNNNNNNNNNNNNNNNNNNNNNNNNNNNNNNNNNNNNNNNNNNNNNNNNNNNNNNNNNNNNNNNNNNNNNNNNNNNNNNNNNNNNNNNNNNNNNNNNNNNNNNNNNNNNNNNNNNNNNNNNNNNNNNNNNNNNNNNNNNNNNNNNNNNNNNNNNNNNNNNNNNNNNNNNNNNNNNNNNNNNNNNNNNNNNNNNNNNNNNNNNNNNNNNNNNNNNNNNNNNNNNNNNNNNNNNNNNNNNNNNNNNNNNNNNNNNNNNNNNNNNNNNNNNNNNNNNNNNNNNNNNNNNNNNNNNNNNNNNNNNNNNNNNNNNNNNNNNNNNNNNNNNNNNNNNNNNNNNNNNNNNNNNNNNNNNNNNNNNNNNNNNNNNNNNNNNNNNNGUUUGUUUCACGGAAAACUUAAUGAUAAAAGAAAAUGCUUUCCGAGAAAGCAUUUUCCAAGAAUAUGGUUUGUUUUCCUUUGUUUGAUGAUGUAAUUGAAAAUGUUUUCUGCCGUUCAAAUCCCAUUAAAAAAUAAUUUCACACUUCAUUGCAGGAAAAAAAUGAAUUUUUAAUUUAAAAAACUUCAAAUUUUUAAUAUUGUGUUUAUAUUUACUUUUAUUUUCUAUUUUUUAUUUUCUUUCUUUUUAUUUCCUUUUUUUCUUUUUCUUUUUCUCUUUUUCCUUCUUCUUGUCCUUCACUCCUCAGCUUCCUCACACCAUCCCUUCUGCUUCCUCUAGCAGUUCGUUCCUGGCUAGCUUACAAGGGGUGAGCUCCAGCUAUUGCAGGAGGCGGCAAGAUCGCCAGUUGGCCACUAGAGGCUGCGAGCUUACCCAAUCUGGCGAGGCUUGAGCCUCAUCGCUAGAGGCCACGAGCUCACCCAAUUUAGUGAGGGUUGAAGCUCAUCAGCCUCAGGCAAGCUCAAGCCUUGUUGUCGAAGGCCAUGAGAUCGCUCGAUCUGGUGAGACCAGAGCUCACUAGCUACUAUCCUUGUGGCCGGUGACAAGUGAAGAAGAAGCAAAAUGAAAAAGGAAGAAAAGAAAAAGAAAAGAAGCAAAUUCGAUUUAUUUUUUAAAAAUGUUUUCCAAAUUUUCAUUUAAAAAAAAUAAAAAAAUUCAAAUUCAAUUUUUUAAAAAGAUAUUUUUAUAAGAAUAAUUUUUUGUAAACCAAGCAUCAAAUCUAAGCUUUAGUAGAUUCAGAAAACGUUUUCUGGUCAUUUCAAAGGGGAAAUCAUUUUCCUGAAUUUAAGUUUUGCUAGAAAAACAUUUUCUGUUGACUAGGAAAACAUUUUCUGUUGACUCAUUUCCUGAGUGACCCAAACGCCGGAAAAUAAGGAAAAUGUUUUCCCUGAAAAUGUAUUCCGCGAAACAAACACACCCUUAGUCGGAGUUUUGGGUUGUCAUCAUGAUGGUCAACGAUUUGAUGAUGACCAACGAUUUGCUAGCAAUACUAUGACAUUAAUGUCGACAAAUGAGGAGAAUUAACAUAAAAGUCUUAAACCUAUUGUAAUUGUAUCAAUUUAGUCAUUAAUUUUUUUUACCAAUUUAAUCCUAAAUAUUUUGCAAUUGUAUUAAUUCAGUUUACUUGAUCAAUUUAGCCAGCUGGCACUAAUCUAACGUCGGCCGGCACCGACAUGAAAAAUAUUUGAUAAUAUUUUAUUAUUUUUAAAUUCUUUUAUCAAUUUUUUUCUUUUUUCUUUUUUUUUUCCUUCUUUACUUCUUUUCCCCAUAGUGGCUGGCAAGCCUCCCACAAGAGGCACUAGCCAUUGGGUGAGGGUUGUGAAGCUCUCGUUAGCUGCUAGCAACGUGGCCCUCCCUCGGCCUUACCUAGGCAAGGGCCAUGACCCUCACCAAAGGAAAAGAAGCAAAGAAGGAAGAAAAGAAAAAACAAAAAAUAAUNNNNNNNNNNNNNNNNNNNNNNNNNNNNNNNNNNNNNNNNNNNNNNNNNNNNNNNNNNNNNNNNNNNNNNNNNNNNNNNNNNNNNNNNNNNNNNNNNNNNNNNNNNNNNNNNNNNNNNNNNNNNNNNNNNNNNNNNNNNNNNNNNNNNNNNNNNNNNNNNNNNNNNNNNNNNNNNNNNNNNNNNNNNNNNNNNNNNNNNNNNNNNNNNNNNNNNNNNNNNNNNNNNNNNNNNNNNNNNNNNNNNNNNNNNNNNNNNNNNNNNNNNNNNNNNNNNNNNNNNNNNNNNNNNNNNNNNNNNNNNNNNNNNNNNNNNNNNNNNNNNNNNNNNNNNNNNNNCCCUGUGUAUAGUGAUGAGCACGAGCCGAUACCAAUGCAUCAUGAAAUAACAUAUUAUUUGCUGCUUAUGAGUGAAUGAACUUACAUGAUAGUUACUAGUUUUUAUUGGCAUAUCAUGAUUGAAAAAGAAAGAGAACUUACUCAUGCAUGAUUAUUUUGUAUUGCCUUUAAACUCACAUUAUUUGAUUGGUGCUAGAUUAUGCAUAUCUCCUACCUUAGACCCAAGAAUUUUAUACCGGUUUUUAGCUCACCCCUCAUUUCUCAGUGUGUAGGAUGACCCCUUUGAACAUGAUUGUGGGUGCGAUGUGGAUGCCUAAGACCAUCAACCUCAAGUUAGAUGGUGGCCCGCUUGUGGAAUAGUAGGAGAGUAGUGAUAUUAGUCAACCGACCAUUUUCCCAGGACUAUAUAUUUUGUUGUGAUGAUAACUACUAAUGUUUGUAUGAAGAAAAAGCAUAUAGAUAUGUAUUAAACUAGUGCGACUUUCUUUUAUGGAAUGUUAUUAUGUAUUUUGCAGUACUCCUGCAUGCUAUUAAUCAAAGAAAAAAUCUACACAUAUAGUGCGUGACGUACCUAGGUUGUCACAAGGAGCUCAUGGCUGUCAAUAAUAUUUACAAGAUUACGUCAUUUGUGGUUGUCACAACCCGACCUUGAUGCCCCUAGUUUUAGGGAUGCGGUAUAAAGAUAGAAUUUAGAGGUACUUGAUUGUGAGAACUCCCUCACCAUAUACUACUCCAAGAGAUGUCAUCAUCUCAUUUUUUGAGACCAACCACAUGAGUUUGCUUACGGUCUUAAGCUCUCAUAAGCUCACAUCUUGCAUGACAACGGAAUUUAUUUAAAGUUGUUUCAAACAACCUAAAAUUUGGAUUCUAGGAGUCGCCACUAGCAUCUUUUUUGGGGGUCGACUAGAAUACCCAAUCAAGGGUUAGGAGUAGUCCUUCGAUUUCUAUGCAACCAAAGAUCAAAGGCUUGAGGAUUUGUGUUACGUUAACAUUUUUAUUAACGCCCUUUCAACACCCAAUAGGUGUGCUUUAUUACUUAACAUGUCCUUACAUUUCUUUUUACAUUUUUGUUCGUUCCAUUCUAUUCUAAUCUAACUAGAAUAAUAAAGGAGACAAUCAAUUAAUUGAAGAGACAUCACGGAAAGUAAACACCCAAGACAGUUUUAAAGAUGAUAUAAGGAAACAAGUCUAAAAAAGACAAUAAAAGAAAAACUCGCAACUCGUUGGACCUUUAUACAACACAAAAGGAGCCCGAGACAUUUGUUCGGAAAUGAAUAUUACAAUUUGAAAAGGUCAAAUUGGACAUCGAUCAUUCGCCAUCUUCAAAUCUUUGAGACCGCCACCUCCAAAGGAUGCCUUUCAAACUUAUUCUAAUCCUAGGCCAAUACUAAACUAGAGCAUAUAAUUACAAGACAUGCGUCACACAAGCAAUGACAAAUGCAUAGAUCAAACAAACGCAAGCAAUACAAAGCAUCAAACAAAUGCACUCCACUUGUCAAGCAUGGCAUUAGAGUUGGCCUUUGAAAUUCAUGCAAUGCCCUCAUUAAGACACCUACCCCAUUCAUUUUAAGUGACCCACAAUCAUUAGCCAUUGCUUGCGUUCACAAGAAGUGACCAAUGCUAUGAAAUCCCUAAGUCGGGUUCUAAGUGACAUCUCAAAGUAAUCCACAUGAUCAUGCAUCGCACCUAGGCCAUUCAUCUAGAAAUCACACACAAAGUAGCAGCAUGCACUUAGGCCAUAAAGCCUUAGCUCUCAAUCAAUCAACCAAUUUAGUAAUAAUGGAUCAAUUAUUCAAUCAUGCACAGCAAUGAAUAUAAUCACACAAUGCAUAACCAUGACGAGCAAAGGCAGUCAAAAUCCAAUUCAUGUGAUGCCAAAAAAUGAUUCAUAUUCAAUUUGCAAGCAAGGGCUUAAUUUAGAUGAAAUUGCAAAGGGAGACCUCAACUUCACAUAUCGACAAACAAGUCCUAAUGAAAGGAAAUUUCCAAAUUUCAAUUGUUUAGAAAACAUGUAUAUCAAUUUAUAAGAAUUUGAACAUGUUAGAUGUUUUCUGGAAAUAAAUCCAAAGUCUGAGUGCGAAUAAUGUCGGUACACUAAUCAGACUUCAUGAACCAUCUAACAAACGUCAAAUCUUAACAAAAUGGCUUUAAUUUUUAUUUUUUUUUGAAAGAUAUGACAGUUUUAUAGAAUUUGAAUGAGUUUGAUGUUAUUGGGAAAUAUAUCUAGAACCCAGGUGCAGAUAAUUUUAACACAUUUAUCGAACUCCUUGAACCAUCAAAUGAUCAUUCAAUCCGAUAAAAUUGACAUCAAAACAAUAUUUGAGAAAUGCCAAACAACUUUGUUGAAGAAAUUUUUGCAAUAUGGGCAUCACAUGAACUUAUAAAGAUCUCAAUUUAAACAGUUCAGGAAAUCAAAUUUCCAUAAUGCACUAUUACUUUGAGAGGGUUGGUAAAAAUACCAAAACAUGUUUUUAUUUUCUGAACAUUAAUGACAAUUAAGUUCAAUAUGUGACAAACAAUUAUCAAGGGGACAUCGAAGUCUAAUUCAGCUUGCUUGAUUUUCUAAAAAUCACACAUGUAUGUCAAUCAGCCAAAUCAACAAUCUUCGAAACAAGGUAACCAACUCUAUUUAACAGAAGCAGGAUCAAUCGUCAUCUCGACCUAGAAUUUUUAUGGAAAGUAAACCAACGUGUGAGAGCAACUUUUAUGUGGGAAGCAUCUCAAUUCCUAACACGCGAAUUUCUAAAAAUCUAAGAGCACAAACAGGUCAGUCAGGAAUAGAACAGGGCAAUAUGAGUGAGAAUGUUCUAUAGCCAAUCGACCCUAUCCAUUGGUAUUCAAAAAUUUUCAAAUUUUAUAUGUUAUAACAUGAAUUUCAUGGACAAAUUUUAUCCGGACUCAACCACAAAACAGCACCCAAAAAUCACACAAAAUUGGCAAAUAGUCAGGCCCAUAGAAGCACAGCAAGCAUUUCAAUUCAAUGCAAGUUCCAGAUUGUAACUCGAAUUGGGAAAAAUUGUAAACACAGCAAAUGAUCUUAAAAUCAUGCAAACCAGACAUGAAAAGAAAGCUUAAGAUGUCUACUACAAAUUUCUAGAAGGUGACAAGUUCAAUUAAUGUCGUUUUUCAGCUCAAACGAAGAUAUCUAGCAAACAGGUCUAAAACAGAGUUUACAUAUUUAUGCAUGAAUAACAUGAUUUUAAUAUAGCUAAACGGUUUGCAAAUCCUAUGAAAUUUUUAUAUUAAUUAAAACUAAAUGUCAAGAUCAAAGUUCAUGAAGACACUCAGUCCAAAAUCAUAGUACAAAAAAUAUACAAAAAUGACAAACCGAGCAGGUCAGUCAGCCUCAAAAACAUAUGCGGUAAAUAGCAUAUUGCAGAUUUUAUCACUAAUUUUGAAUAGGUUUUGGCAUAGCAAAUGACGUCAAACUCAUGCAUGGAAUAUAUCGUUUAAAAGGUCGUGAAGUCAUGCAAGAAUCUCAUGCAGAAGUCUAAGCCUAAAAACGACAUCAUCUAGCUUAAAUGAAGACGUUUAUCAGGUCGGUUUAAUAAGUAUACGAUUUUCACAGAGCCAGCAAUCAAGAUCAAUCAAGCAACUGAAUUAUCAUCAAUCACCACAACCUCUCACAGCAACUUUUAUGGCAUCUAAAAUUUAGAUUUAAGCAUGACCAAUCAUCCUAGGUUCGAGUGCCAGCCCCGAUUGCGUAAGGCAAUCUCGCUUCAUGGAGCUUAAGUUCGAGAAUAUAUUAUGCCUUGUGUAUUUUGCGAAAUGAGCUCUAACGAGCUAGGAUCGAACUUCGUCGGGACUUAGGACACGUCGAGAGGGAUCUAUGUAGGGGAGAUAAGGACCAUCAGAAUGGCUCAGGAAUGAUCCGAUGAGCACCGAGUGGUAGCUAGAGCUAGGAUUGGUGCCGGACGAACACCUAGGACUGCCGGAAGGAGAUCGCUAGAAUGGAGGGGUUUUGAUGGCUGUUAGGCUAAACUCCAAUCACCCGAAUGUUGAGAACUCACCAAAGGAUGUCAAUGGACAGGUCAGGAUAGCUAAAAGAGUGGCAGACCACCUGGAACAGCUGCGGAACCGCCGAACAAAAUUACCGGCACCAGAGCCAGUCUUCGAGCCGAUCGGAAAAGAGGAGCUAGACAGAAGGCUCCAAUGCGAUUUGAGGCAGCGGAUGGUGACGGUGAGACUCACGAGAAGGUGGUGGUGAUCAGAGGUGCAGGCGCGUCGCCGAUAGGGGCUUAUUGGCACGGCAAAGAGGGAGGCCAAGAGAGGGCGAUUGGGGGAGGGGGAGAGAGAGAAUCUGAAAAUGAAAGAGUCCCUCAAUUUUGGAGGGAAAAUGGGCUUUAUAGCUCCUUGUAAGAUCAUAUCCUAGCUCUUGGAUCGAUUUAGGAUUAGGAUCUUAUCUUCCUAGUUUAACCAACUUACAUUAUAGCCAUUAAGCUUGCUUACGAUUGGUCAAUAAUAUGCACAUGUCAAUUUGAAUAUCUAAGACGAACUCUCAAUGGAUAGUCAUGAUCAAUUUUGGGAUUAAAGGCUAAUCAGGGGCAUUUUUGUAAUUUCACAAAUCUAACGGCAAUUUUGUAAUUUCACUAGGGGCAAACUUGUAAUUUCAUGCAACGGGGUGAGCGAAGAUCAACUAGACCUUGGGCUUGCCGGUGAUGGCGGCUGGCCACCGAAGGUUCAUCGGAAAAUGGCUAGCUUGGCCGUUUUCCUACAAAGGCCAACCAAGUCGAUCGCACCGGUCCAAAUUGACUUCGACCUGUCCAAACCGACUUCGACCGGUCCAAUCGAUUCUUGGUCUUUUCUUGUGCAACUUAGUCUAGGGACUUAAUUGCAAAGAAUCUUUGUUCAAUUAGGAGAAGAAAUGAGCUAGUUUGAAAAGAAAUUAUCCAAUUUCAAUGAAAUUAAACCAAUUAAAUCUUGUAAAAGCAUCUCAAUUAGUUCCAAUUGGUUUAAUCACCUUUAUAACAUUGGAAAUCAUGAAUAUACUCAAUGGGUGUACGAAAUUAGAAUUUCUAUUCCAAUUAGCGCAAUUUGUGCAAUUUUCUAUCUCAAAACGCAAAUCGAUUGAAAUUGAAUCCAAUUAAUAUAACGAGAUAUCAAUUAGUUCGAUUACACACAUUCAUGAUGGUUGUUGCAUCCAAAUUGACACUAAAAUGAAGGUACGACCUUUAUGCCAAAAUUAAAUUGAGGGCUAAUGUUGAAAUUAAACCUCAAUCUAUCAAAUUAAACUUUAUUUUUAAAAUGGAUCAACUUGAAUUGCACUAAUUGAAGCUUAUUAGCUUAGAUUUCUUAAGUUCGACUAAGCUAAACCCAUCAAAUUAGAGAUUUCCCAAGUGGCUUUGCCAAAAUUGAUCAUGGAUUUGGAUUCAAUUUUAAAAAAUGAGUUGAAUGGAAAUACUGGCACACAAUCCGAGAAAAUCGAUUCAGACCCUCGAUUAAGGCUAAAAAGGGCAAAUUUUAUCCCAACAUGCUAAAUCAUUGAAAUGAUCACGAGAGUGAUUUCAAAAUAGCCUCUAGAUUAAAUAUCGUAAAUGAAACUAAGCCAAAAUAUGAAUAAAAUGAAAGUACUUUUAUUUUUUGUUGAUUUGGAACUUAAAAUAAUAAUAAAAAAUAGAAAGAUGAGGUUAUUAAUUGAUUUUCAUAGAAUUUUCAAUGUCAAAGUUAAAUCAAAGCUAAAAUAAGAUGAAUUGUGAGUUUUUGUAUUUUUCAAUUUUUUUUUUUUUGUAAAGAGUUUAUCAAAAGUCAACAUUUUCAUUAAAUUUGUGAUUUUAUAAUCAAAACUUUUAAUUUUUUUUCAAAAUUUUUGUUGCCAAAGUGAUGUUAAGACUAAUUGGGAUCUUUUUGUGCAAAAAAAGCUAAAUUUUAACUUGAAAUUGAUUUUUUAUCAAAGGGUUGACUAAAACGUCAAUUUAAAAGUUAACUCUUUGACUUUUUGGGUGUUCAUUAUAAAUGAAUAAGAAAUUGUUCACAAAUGGCUGGUCAAAGAAAAUAAAACUAAAAAUGACACUUUUGACUCGAGAAAUAUACUCUGUCACGAUCAAAAACCCUAAUCUCACAUUUUUAACUUUGAUGACGCGUUGGUUAAAAGUUAAGUGUUAAUAAUGGUCCUUUUACUUUUGACCAAAAUUAAUAACUAUAACUCUACUUUUUUAUUCUUAUUCAAAAUUGUUCUUGUACUUCUUAGUUUGUUCCACGCUAGUUCUCCUCAAAUAUCUUCUUUUGCGGUCAACCUUUGUUGAUGGGGGUCGCUAGAUUUAUAAUAAGAAUUAAUUGAGAGAGAGACCAUGAAGAAGACAUAUUGCAAAAGAUUUGUUGAUGAAAGGAGUGAGGUUAAUCCGUGACAAGUGUUUUCACCGACUCCUACUCAAAGCCCGCGGCUUGUGGUCGCUCAAGCCUGAGGCCUGGGGUCACCGUUGCCAUGGCUAGUCAACCUUUGGUCUCACGGCCAUGCAAGAGCUCAAGUGGCCGAUUGCCAUGGCCACUAUCUAAAGCCAGCUGAUCUCAAGCUCAUGGUCGUAACCACUGCUCAAGCUUUUGAGUUGUGGUCAUGGUCGCUACGGGUCGUCAUGAGAGAAUACUUACAAAUUACAUUGUUAUGAGAUGUUAUUAUUGGAGCUAGCAAGUAGCGCCUUAAAGGAGGUGAAUAGGUGAUUCUAGCAAAUCUAUCCAAUUUAUCUAUUGGACAGUCUCCAAAAGAUUAUCUUUCAAUCCGUCCAUUGGACACACGUAUAUCAAGAAAAUUGAGUAGCCAUUUAGUGACAAAAUAUGAAUCUUCAUUGAUUCUAGUCACACAUACAAUCAAAGUCUUGGUUUUCAAAAAGGGAUAAAUGCUACAGAAGUCCUAAAACUUGUCACAAAAAUGCAAUUGCGUCCUAAAACUUGCAAAAAGUGCAAUUAAGUCCAAGAACUUGUCAAAUUGUUUCAAUCAAGUCAUAAAGUUAACACUGUUAAGAAAACUUAUUUUUGAAAAUUGUUAAAAAAAAAGAAAAAAAAAAAGAUAAAGCAGCUCCUCCCUUGUUGCCGCCGUCGCCACCAAUCGCUGGAGGGGCCGACGACCCUCGCUAAGCUCAAGCAAGUGUGCCCAGAUCUAGGCACCCUCUCCCGAGCUUGGCAAGGGUCACCGGCCCUCGCCUGGGGCCGGACGAGGGCCGACCGUCGUUGGCCCCUCCAGCAAUCGGUGGCAACAGCAGCGGCGGCAGCAGGGGAGGAGUUGCUGCUGCUGCUUUAUCUUCUUCUUUUUUUUAACAAUUUUCAAAGAUAAAAUUUCUUUUCUUUUUAGUAUUUAAACUAUUUAAAAAAAUUGAAUAAAAAAUAAUUUAAAAAAAAACCACAUGGAAAAUAAAAUAUUAUUUAAAAUGCCACGUCAGCAUUUUUCCAUUAAAAAUGUUAAGGACUCAAUUGAAACAAUUGACAAGUUUUAGGACUUGAUUGUACUUUUUGCAAGUUUUAGGACUCAAUUGCGUUUUCAUGAUAAGUUUUAGGACUUCUGCAACACUUAUUUCUUUCAAAAAUAGAUGUCUCCAUUAAAAAAAAAACUUGUAUUCAAGUUUGAUUGCCACUUAAUUAAAGUGUUUUACAUUACAACAUUGGUUUGCAAAACAAUCUUUAUGAUUAAGAGUCAAUCAAGUUUUUUUAAGUGUAAAUCUGAGCUAGAUCACUAGCCAUAAUAUAUGUUCCGAACUUGUGUAUGAAAUGGAACACUAGUUCUCCAAGUCCAAAUAUGUUUCGCUUGAAGUAAAUUACACAAUCUAAUGAUAUUCGGCUUAUAAUCUUUGAGUUUGAAUACGUUUUAUGAUAUCCACACAAAAUCUUGAUAAUAUCCACUAACUAGCUUAUUAAAUUCAAAAUAACUUAGACUUAAGUCUGAACAGGAUCGAGAUUGUUAUAGACUUCUCUUUCAAGAGAUUUCCCUAAAUCAAGAAUACUUCAAGACAUUUAUAUGGAUAGUUUUGUCAACUUGAAAAUUCAUUAGGAAGUUUUCUCAAUAGUUAUUUGUAGUCUUUUAUUGGAUUUGAAUAACAAAAAUCAAGGUUAGAACAUUUUCAACAAUGUUGGUGUCAAGUGAACAAAAUCCAUUGCCAAGUCGAUCAAGGAGGAAUAGUAACACUUUUUUUUUAAAAAAAAUAAUAAUAAUAAUGGAGGGAUGCUUUUAAAUAAAAUAGAAAAAGCCAAGGACGAUUUGAAUUUCGGACAAAAGCGAGGCGUCACCGAUUUAUCUAAUAUUUUCAGCACAGAAUCAACGUUGACUUCCGUGCGACCAUCUCCACCGGCUGCUACUCACGAAAAGUUGAGCGAAGGGACAUCCAUCUUUAACUUUCCAUGUCGUGUGCUCGUGCCCCAUUCGCGGUUGAGUUGGAUGAUAAGGGCCAAAUCGUCCUCAGCAUCUUGACUAAAACAGUGCUCCGUUUGGGAGUCAAAAGGGUCUUUGCGGAAGCAAAUUCGUCCCCUCCCCAAAUGGGCCACUCAUCUCCAGCUAAGAAUCUUCUUCAUGCCCAUCUUCCUAUGCCUGAUAGUCAAUCUCAAGUCAAUACGACUGAAACUACUUGAUCACAAUUCACGGGCCAAUCACUAGCUGUCUUUCUUCCGAAGCAGAGUUUCAUGCUCUUCCUCUGGUUCGAUGGCAAAGCUUCACAUCAUCCAUGGAGUCCACGCCCCUGGCUUCAUUCUCUUCUUCGUCUCUCUUCAGUACCCACUUCUUCUUCUCACUCUUUCCUCAGCCUACACAACUCAGACCAGUUACUUCAUCAAUUGUGGAUCAAGCAAAAGCCAGAACUAUUCCAACAGGGUCUUUGUUGGUGACACGGGUUCUGACUCCAUCUCCUUCACAAAACAGAGUACCUCCGCCCAAUCCAGCAGCCAAUUCUCGAGCGUCUCACCUAUCUACGACACGGCAAGAAUCUUCAGAAACCCUUCGUCGCAAUACGUUCUUGAUGUAAUCGACAAAGGUACUCACAUCGUGCGACUCCACUUUUUCCCUUUCGCUUCCACAAGAAAUCUCUCUGAGGCUGUGUUCAAUGUCUCAGUAAAGGGGCUCACCCUUCUCAGCAAUUUCCAAACACCCAGUAGAACCAACUCUCCUAUAGUGGAGGAGUUCUUGCUUAGCAUAAAUAGGAAUAAGUUUGUACUUUAUUUUAGUCUUCAAGGGUCAUCCUUCGCAUUUAUAAAUGCCCUCGAAGUGUUCCUUGUGCCCGAUGGAGUCGUUCCCGAUUCUGCUCCAAGGGUGGGCAUUUCAGGGAAAAGUAGCAGCAACUACAGUGGAAUUCCUUCCCAAGUCUUACGAACGGUUUACCGAAUAAAUGUUGGGGGCGAUGGAGUAACUCCGGUUUAUGAUAGCUUUUGGAGAAGUUGGGAUCCUGAUGAUAAUUACACUUAUCUCCCAAAUGCUGCAAAAAAUACGACUAUGUACGGAGUAAACUAAUUACCAUUAUGGUCUAGACGGAUACUUAGCAUCGGAACACGUUUACCGCUCUGCUAAGAUGAUGGACGAAUCUGCUUGGGGAUUAUACCCCAACACCACCUGGGGUUUUAACGUGAGUGCGAACGCCUCGCACUUGGUCCGGGCUCAUUUCUGCGAUAUCAUUAGCCCGUCUCCCAACACAGUGUACUUUAAUCUCUACAUUUAUGAGAAUUUCACUGAGUACAUUGGUAAAAAUGGGAUUCAAAAUCCUUUAACUCCUUUUCAUUAUGAUUAUGUGGUUCAGCCUGGCAGCUCAGGGCUAGUGAACAUCAGCAUAGGCCUCCUUAGUGCCUCAGAGACAACGUCUCAGCAGGCCUAUCUCAAUGGCCUGGAGAUAAUGGAGAUAAUUGGGUCGUGGGACUCACAUUUUGUGCCAUCAGGGGGCGAUAACCAGAAUAAGCACAUCGGCCUCAUAAUUGGUCUAGUUUCCGGAAGCAUCGUGUUUCUCUGCAUAUUUGUAUCUGCAGCGAUCUUCAUACGCAAGCAUAGAAAGCCAAAGAGAACUGAAAUUUCGGUCUGGUCACCAUUGCCUGCACUCGGAAGAGGCAAUUCUUACUGUAAACUGACCGAGCAAAGUACCCAUGGCUCCAUCGUCCCUAAUUUUCACCUGGGACUGAAAAUACCCCUCCCCGAAAUCCAUUUCGCUACCAACAACUUCGAUCCCAAACUUUUGAUCGGCAAGGGUGGAUUUGGCAAUGUUUACAGAGGAACUCUCAGGGAUGGCACUAAAGUUGCCGUGAAACGGAGCGAGCUGGGGUUGGGACAAGGCUUCCUCGAGUUCCAAACAGAGAUCACCAUUUUGUCCAAAAUCCGCCAUUGCCACCUCGUCUCCUUAAUUGGGUAUUGUGCUGAACAGUCUGAGAUGAUACUUGUUUUUGAGUUUAUGGAGAAGGGGAGCUUAAGAGAUCACCUGUACAAUUCCGAUUUCCCAUACUUACCAUGGAAGCAAAGGCUCGAGAUCUGUAUUGGAGCUGCCCAGGGAUUGGACUACCUCCACAGAGGCGCGGCUGGAGGAAUUAUUCAUCGGGACAUCAAGUCCACC
rnacentral:lncRNA from 1 species